rnacentral:misc_RNA from 1 species
UAAAGUGCGAAAUGAAGUGCGAUUUGCAUGAAUCUGUGAGUCAUCAUAUCUUUGAACGCAACUUGCGCCAUUAGUUUGGCAUGUCUGUUUGAGAACGGGAAAACAAUGCACCUGAUGCGACAUGACCGGAUAUAUGUGAGUAUAUUUGGUUGAAACACGAAAAUUCGGUUGAAACUGUUGGAAACCGUGUGCCAGAGCCCUGUGCUUCUCACGGAUUCUUAACAGCCAAACCACAAAUUAUUAAACUAAACGUCUCAAAUCAGGCAAGACUACCCGCUGAACUUAA